rnacentral:lncRNA from 1 species
GAUCUUGCCUGCCUUGGCCUCCCAAAGUGCUCAGAUUACAGGCCACCACACAUGAGCUGAAGCGGCCAGGCUCCUCCCCGCUGCACAAGGUGCGAAAUUCCUGUGGCUCCACCCCAGUCUCUCAGUGUGCAGCUUUCUCCAGAAUUGGGAAAUCCCUCAACCUGGCAAAAGUAUAGCUCAAAUGUGCCUCAGCUACCAUUUCCUGGUGGCAGUCCUCAACCAAUGGGUGCCGGGAAUUGGUGAACAACGCCCCAGCCCCCCAGCCUCCAGAGAAACAAUUCUAAGUGACAUGGAUGAUGAUAACCAGUCUAUGCCCACAGUGAUUAUCAGCUCAGCAAUGUACCCUUUACUGGCUUUUCUCCUUCCAUAUGUCACUAUUCCUGCUCCCUCACUCCUGCUUCCUGGAAUUACCUUCCCAGAAAAACUUCAUUCAGGCAGAAGAAGAGUCAAGGAGACAGAAACGACAAGAGAGGUAGAAGAACAAAGAAAGUUUGCAACAUGGAAAGCCAGGGAGGAGGAAGUUUCAAGAAAGAGUAGGUGAAUCUAUCCCAGCAGCAGCCAGGGUGGGCCUCUGUCCUCGAGCAGCACUGGAGCCAGACUCAGUUCCCGGAUCUUGCAGCCGAGGAGCCUCUCAAGCAUCCACAGCCCCCACCAGUGUGGGGACGGUGGAUCCUGUGGUGGACAUCCCCGGGGAUGUGACUGCCUGAUGGUGGCAGCAACAGCAGCAACAUCUGAGACCACGGAGUGGGGGUCUUUGGCAGAGACCCCAGGGCAGCUGAGGCAGCUGGGCUUCCUCCCAGCUCCAUCAGCCUUUGGGUCCAUGAGAAUCCCUUAUCCUUUACAGCCCUGCCCUGGCUCUGGGAAACUGGGGAUGGCCUCUGUGACCCCCCUUUGAGAGGUGAAGCCAGCUGGACUUCUGGGUCGGGUGGGGACUUGGAGAACUUUUCUGUCUUACAAGAGGA